GCGUAGUUAGCCGGCAAUGCUUACAAUAACUGGCAGCGCUGCGUUAGCGAGGCUGCCAGCUCGACGAAGUUAGCCGGCAGCUCACAAUCAGCUGGCAGCGCUUUUCGAAAUCGAAUCUGUCUGUUAAAGCGCUACUGACAAACAGACGACGGUUACAUUUUGAAAUGCGCAUAAAAAGGAGAAUGAUAUUUUACAUUUUGAAAUAUAUUGUUCAAUUACUUCUAACAUACCCCAGCGAUGAUGGGACUUACAAAAGAGACAUACCAAGAAAGCGGUAAAAUUAUGAAACAUAAGAAAAAUAAAUAAAUAUGUGACUUUAGCAUACCAUAGUUAAGAUAGAAA